AUUGAACGCUGGCGGCAUGCCUUACACAUGCAAGUCGAACGGCAGCACGGGUGCUUGCACCUGGUGGCGAGUGGCGAACGGGUGAGUAAUACAUCGGAACGUACCUUAUCGUGGGGGAUAACGCAGCGAAAGCUGUGCUAAUCCCGCAUACGCCCUGAGGGGGAAAGCGGGGGAUCGCAAGACCUCGCGCGAUUAGAGCGGCCGAUGCCGGAUUAGCUUGUGGGUGGGGUAAAAGCCCACCAAGGCGACGAUCAGUAGCUGGUCUGAGAGGACGAUCAGCCACACUGGGACUGAGACACGGCCCAGACUCCUACGGGAGGCAGCAGUGGGGAAUUUUGGACAAUGGGGGCAACCCUGAUCCAGCAAUGCCGCGUGAGUGAAGAAGGCCUUCGGGUUGUAAAGCUCUUUUGUCAGGGAAGAAACACCGGCUCUAACACAGUCCGGGAAUGACGGUACCUGAAGAAUAAGCACCGGCUAACUACGUGCCAGCCGCCGCCGUAA
rnacentral:rRNA from 1 species